rfam:Dichanthelium oligosanthes cultivar Kellogg 1175 unplaced genomic scaffold Do_version_2_scaffold349, whole genome shotgun sequence.
UGGCUGUGACGACAAAAGGAUAUCUUGUUGAUUCUGAUUCUUAAUGCCAUUUAAGGACCAAAUCGUGAUGACCUUAUUUGUGCGUGUCUGAGCCGA